AUGCUGAAUGGCCUGUCGGGUAGCAUCCCACCCACUAUAGGAAACCUCACCAGGCUUCAGGUUCUUACCCUAGGCUUUAACAGUAUCUCUGGCCCAAUCCCGGUCGAGCUACAGAACCUACAUGGUCUCAACCUCCUAAAGCUGCAACAUAAUUCCUUCACCGGCACCAUACCGGUCCAUCUAUUCAACAACACAGCAAUGUUGACUGUUCUAGACAUUGGCAACAACAGCUUGUCCGGAGCAAUACCGCCUUGCAUCGCGUCCUUAGAAAUGCUAGAGUUACUGGACCUGCAAGUAAAUCAUCUCGCCGGUCCGGUGCCCCCAGCCAUCUUCAAUAUGUCCAAACUGCAUUCUUUAUGGCUCGGUGACAACUACAACUUAACUGGCUCUUUCCCUACCAACUCAAGUUUUAAUCUACCAUCGCUAGAAAAAAUCAGCCUUGCAGACAACAGUUUCACAGGUCAGAUCCCAUUGGGGCUCAUGUCUUGUCAGUACCUUCAAGCUAUUUCCUUUUCAAGUGGGAAUGAGCUCUUUGGUCCAAUCCCAGUUGCUCUCAGCAACCCCACUUCACUGUAUGCCCUAGACUUGUCAUUCUGCAAGUUGGCACGAUCCAUUCCGGCUCAACUUGGACAACUUGGCCAGCUAUCCGAAUUGCACCUUGCCACUAGUCAUCUAACAGGUGCAAUUCCACCUACCCUCGGCAAUUUAUCUCAACUAACUUACCUCGAUUUGCAAAUAAAUCCACUGUCUGGAUCCAUACCAGCAACACUUGGCAACAUUGCAGCUUUGAACAUGCUUAUUCUAACAGAUAACAAUUUAGAGGGGAAUCUGGGCUUCCUAUCAGAUCUUUCCCGUUGUAGGGAUCUCCAACUCCUUUUCAUAGAGGGAAAUUCAUUCACCGGGCCCAUCCCUAGCCACGUUGGAAACCUCUCUACACAGUUGACCACUUUUCGUGCGGGUCGCAACAAGUUAACCGGUGGACUUCCAGCUACUUUCUCAAACUUAUCCAACCUUGAAUGGUUAGAUAUUUCGAACAACCUACUCACCGAGGCAAUCCCAGAGUCCAUCACUACAAUGAAAAAUCUGGUGCUUCUUAACCUCUCUCGAAACAGUAUCUUGGGCUCAAUACCAACACAAAUUGGCAUGCUCGUGGGUCUACAAAGGUUGUUUCUCCAAGGAAACAAAUUCAUUGGCUCUAUACCAACCAGCAUCGGCAAUCUUAGCAUGUUGGAAUACAUUGACUUGUCCAAUAACCAAGUAAGUUCAAAGAUACCGACAAGCUUAUUCCAGCUUGAUAAACUUAUCCAGCUAUUUCUUUUCCAAAAUUUCCUUGCUGGCGCAUUACCGACCAAUGUUGAUGGUCUAAUACAAAUCGAUCAAAUGGACAUUUCUUCGAACUUCUUGACGGGAACCAUCCCACAAUCAUUUUCUCUACUUAGCAUGCUAACCUACCUAAAUAUGUCACACAACUCGUUCGAUGGCUCAAUCCCAGACCAGCUUCAAAGGUUAACCAGCUUGGCAACAUUAGACCUCUCCUCCAACAAUCUUUCCGGCAAAAUUCCCAAGUUCCUUGCCAAUUUUACCUACUUGACUACAUUAAACCUCUCAUUCAAUAGGCUAGAAGGACAAAUACCAGAGGGAGGUGUUUUCUCAACCCUCACAUUGCAAUCUUUGAUUGGGAAUGCUGGACUAUGUGGUGUUCCACACUUGGGAUUUUUGCCAUGCCUUGCCCAAUCCCGCUCAAGAAGUAGGCAUUUGCUGGAAUUUCUGCUCCCUGCUGCCAUUGUAGCUUUUUGUGGUGUUGCUAUCUUCUCAUACCUAUUGAUAGGAAAUGUUGUUAAUGCCUCGGCCGAUCCGACUGAUUCUGUAAUAGGCCAUCAGUUAGUCUCCUACCAUGAGUUAGUUCGUAUUACUGAUAACUUCAGUGAUGAUAAGAUGUUGGGGUCUGGAAGCUUUGGAAAAGUUUUCAAGGGACAAUUGAGCAACGGUUUGAUGGUUGCAAUAAAAGUCCUAGACAUGCAGCUGGAGCAGGCUAUCAGAAGCUUUAAUACUGAGUGUGGUGUAUUGCGCAUGGCACGACACCGCAACCUCAUAAGGAUACUCAACACCUGUUCCAACUUGGACUUCAGAGCACUUGUGUUGCCGUACAUGCCUAAUGGUAGUUUGGAGAUGCUCCUACACUACCCUCAAGGCUCAACAUACUUGGGGUUCCUUGAGAGGCUAGGCAUCAUGCUUGAAGUGGCACUGGCAAUGCAGUACCUGCACCAUGAACACCAUGAGGUGGUCUUGCACUGUGACUUGAAGCCUAGCAACGUGUUGUUCGAUGAGCACAUGACGGCGCAUGUGGCAGACUUUGGCAUCGCAAGGUUGCUACUCCGGGAUGACAACUCUAUGAUCUCUGCCAGCAUGCCUGGGACAAUUGGCUACAUGGCACCAGAGUACGGUCUUGGAAAAGCAUCACGGAAGGCUGAUGUGUUCAGCUACGGGGUCAUGCUCCUUGAAGUCUUCACUAGAAAGAGACCAACCGAUGCCUUUUUCAAUGGAGAUCUAAGCCUUAGGCAAUGGGUUUUUGAAGCGUUUCCUGCGGAGCUCAUCCAUGUUGUAGAUGUCCAUCUACUCCAAGGCGCUUCUGGCUGCAGCUUUGAAGGGUUUCUAGCGCCAGUAUUCGAGCUGGGUUUGCGCUGCACCAGCUUCGCACCUGACGACAGGAUGACGAUGAGCGAUGUGGUUGUGAUGCUGGAGAAAAUAACAAAGGAGUAUGCUAAAUCAGCACUUGAACAGAGUCAUGCAUCCGAAUGA
rnacentral:rRNA from 1 species